GGAGAGUUGUCCGAGCUGGCCGAAGGAGCACGAUUGGAAAUCGUGUAAACCGUAACAGGUUUCGUGGGUUCAAAUCCCAUGCUCUCCGCCA
rnacentral:tRNA from 1 species